rnacentral:rRNA from 1 species
CAGCCGCCGCGGUAAUACAGAGGGUGCGAGCGUUAAUCGGAAUUACUGGGCGUAAAGCGCACGCAGGCGGUCUGUCAAGUCAGAUGUGAAAUCCCCGGGCUUAACCUGGGAACUGCAUUUGAAACUGGCAGGCUAGAGUCUUGUAGAGGGGGGUAGAAUUCCAGGUGUAGCGGUGAAAUGCGUAGAGAUCUGGAGGAAUACCGGUGGCGAAGGCGGCCCCCUGGACAAAGACUGACGCUCAGGUGCGAAAGCGUGGGGAGCAAACAGGAUUAGAUACCCGUGUAGUCCCUGUCUCUUAUAA